CAGCCUUAGGCAUGGCUAUAUAAGAUCUAUUUCCAUUCAUUGUAGAGGAAGAAGGAGAAGUACUGAAAAUACAAAAAAAAAAUUGAAACGGUUAAGGAAUUGUGAAGAAACAAAAUCUGAAAUUCUUGUAUUCCAUUAUGGAAGAACUCCCAAAUUCUGUUCAUUUGGGUCUCUGAUUUCUGUUAUAUUAGAAAAUCCUCUAAAAUUUCAUUUGAGAAAUGGUUUGAACAUAGCUUGAGGAUUAAGUGAUGGUUUUUUCUGUUCCUCUACUGCUCCAUUGCUGGUCUUGAAAUUGUUCUCUACUGUUGUUCCAUCUCACUGUGUUAUUGCUGCUGCUUCUGUUUGCUCCCAACUCAUUUUUCUUUUUUGUUUUGCUGUUGUAACUAGAUAUUCCUCAUCACUUUGACAUGUAAAAUGGAAGAACAUGAAGUUAUUUCAUGAGUUUGCAAUCUAUGUCAUAUUAGUUAGUUAAAUGUGGCUUCUUAUACAUCUGAAAGUCAUUAGACUCUAUAAUUAGCUUGGUUUUGUUUGUUACAUUUGAUCUUUUCUGUUUUAGAUUUAAUUGGGAUUUGUAAUGAUAGAUAACUUAUAUAGUUUAGCCAAUUAGUUGAUGAAUUUGAGUUUUCUGUUUGUACAAAGGGACUAUUGAGGUUACUGCAGCAAAAGGUUCAGACAUGUUUUUGUUUUGUUGAUACCAAAGUGUUUGGUGUUGAUCUUUGCCUGAAUUUGCUAACUACCAAGCAUUGGUUGGAG
rnacentral:lncRNA from 1 species